rnacentral:ncRNA from 2 species
GGCAGAGUAGGGGUCUUGCGUUAAGUGCUGGAGGAUGGAACGUUGCCUCCAGACGAAAGUCCUGGAAAGGACUUGCGAUAAGAUCUCGCGUUCGCUGCC